GGGGCCGCCCAGGGGCCCGCCGCCCACGUCGCCGUUGAGGUGCGCGGCGCUGACGUUGGGCGGGGUGAUGGCGGCGGCGGCGGAGCUCAGCUGUUUCCUGCACCCCCGGGCCCUCCUCCUAAGGGGUUCGGUUCUGGAGCAAUGCGACACGGGACCUAAGGGGUUAGCCCAGAUGAUCCACGCUGACCCUGCAGACAGCAAUUACAAAAGGAGGUGUCUUGUUUCAUCCCUAACAAAAUCAUCAACAUCACAUCACUGUGCUGCACAGGAUAAAUUAAGCAGAAAUUCACCGGAGGAUUUCUGAGCUCAGCCUCCUCUCUGCCAGCAAAGUCCCUAAGGAACUAUGCAGUGCCUUUUAGUCUGGCUGCUCCUGCUAAGCAAACCCUGCCUGCGAGCAGUGGGAACCAGGAAUUAGAGCUUGCCCAUUUAACGGUGACUGUGACACACUGAUGAGGUCUGCUCCCCAGGGAUUCCAGAGCAUGUUGCAUGCUUCAGGAUGUGACAUGUGACAAAGCUCUGGGUCCAUUUCCACAAUGAUGUUGUCUAUGAUUUCCAGCUUGGUUGAUUACUUAGGUGCUACCUAAAUACAGCUCCACUUCAAGUAUGUGCAGCCUAAAAGCAGAGUCCAUACUCAGACAUUCCCUCACAUAAAUGAUUCAAUAAUAGGACUGGCUGGAAAGUGCCCAUUUCAUAAAUGGUUUCAAGGUUU